GAACUCAAGGGUAUUAUGCUAAGUGAUAACAGCCAGAGAAAGACAAAUAACACAUAAUCUCUCCUUGUGUGGAAUCUAAUAUAUAUAUAUAUUUUUAAAGCUAUGCUUAUAGAGAACAGACUGAUAGUUUCCGGGAGUAGGGAGUAGGAGAGAUAAGUGAACUAUUUUGGGGGUAUUUUUUGUUUUUGUUAGUAUUUUUGGUUUAGAUAAACUGAAAAGAAAAGAAGAUACAAGAGUUCAUCACCGGAAGUAUUGCACUACAAGAAAUGUUAAAGGAAAUCUUUCAAGUGAAAAGAGAGUUAUACCAGAUGGAAAUAAAAUACAUAGAGGGCUGAAGAGCACUGGAAAUGGUGACUAUUUGGGAAAUAAUUUGGAAGAAAAUGUCAACGAAAUAAAGAGGUAGAAACUGGAGGAUGGAGAAAAGCUAGUGUUUCGUGAGUCACAGAACUUCUUGUAUCCUCACCAACAUUCUUCAACCCUGCAUGUCCCACCUGCUUGAUCUACUUACAUGUGAUGUAAAAUCUCACACGGCUGCCCAGGAUUCCUGUAUUUUUAUGAGGAGCUUUUUUUUUUUUUUUUUCUUAUUGCUCUUGGAGGAGUGAAAGGGUACUUGUCAACUAAAGUCUGUUUUUCCUUCAUCUAGUUUCUGCUUUGCAAGAUAUCAUAGCUUCUGAUUUUGUCUUUCUGGGUACAUUGUUUCAAUUUCUCUCUAUAAGUGGGGAGUUCAACCAAUUUUGACAUAAGGAUGCCACACAGACAUCUAGACAUGUGGUGGGCAAAACUUUGCCUAGUAUAGUCAUCAUAUACAUCCUUAAAACACUACACAGUACCUCCCAAUAAACAGAAUCAUCAUAGCAGUCCUCAUCAGAUGGUUGUUCCCAGAUAGGUAUCUUUAGAAUUGCACCUGUGAAAGUGGGGAGAAAAUAAGUCAUGUUAUGAGGCUGAAAGGGAAAAUAAACUUGCUUAGUAGUUAAAAUACUGUUACAAAGUCAUCCCCUGGAGCUUACAAGAUUAUUGUCAGAGAUGUAGAAAAAUUUUAAGUUUACCAAUGUUUAACAAUAUCUAUUAUGCUGAGAGCAUGAGAUAGAGGGAAAUGUUUAUUUUUUAUGCUCACCUGUGAUUAGCCCUCCAACAAGUGCUGUUGCAAUGGAAGAACCUAGCGCAGCUGCCUGACUGGCCAUCUUAGCCCUAGGAGGCCAAAAAUAUAGAAUUAUUUGUCCAAGAUGCCUGGCAAUAAAAACUGCAUUUCCUGAAGGUGUGCAUGCCUGCCACCUUCAGGCCAGAGCGCAGCAUGACAUACCAGCAAACAUGACAAUUUUUCUUUAAUCGCAUAUAUUUUCUUUGAAACUCUUAAUCAGUGUUCACAAAUUCUUAUAAGCAUGUAUACAAGAACCACCUUUUUCUUCAGAAAUGAUGAAAAUAUCUUCCUUAGAAAGCGUUUAGUAUUUCUAAAAAUGUGAUUGGAGAUCUGAUUCAACAACUAUUUACUGGGUGCUUGCUCUGUACCAGCUUCCCUUCUAGGCACUGAGGAAGGAGCAAUGAACAAAACAAAUGGAAGCUGACAUCUCUCCUUACCCCAUCCCCCUAAAAACAAUUGUGAUGAAAUUAAAAAUCAGAAAAGCUAAUUUUUAGCAUGUAGUGUAGGGACAAGAUAUUAAAGUGUGUCUCCGUAUCUUAGAAGUAGUUACCUUGAAAUGAAGUGAAUGAAUAAUUCCUUAUAAUUUGGGGAAUAGAAGAAUAUGAUAAGAAAGCUACAGAAAUGCAUAAAGCUGUCAAAAGAACUAGGAGUGUGGGAAUCUCCCUAGCACAUGCCUCACUCUUAACAGGCAGUUAACAAAUAGUUGAAAGGUCAAAUCAGUGGUUGCAGGACAGCAAACUGCUGGAAGAAGAAAGUGUGUUGCUCUUUCUUCCUCAUCCUUCAAGGGAAAAAAUGUAGUAAACUCAGAUUUCUUUUUUUUUUCUCUCUCUCUUGAUUUAAAGGGUUUAAUCUCUUUCUACUGAAGGAAAAGUUGUCCAAGAAAUGUAUGAUUAUUGUAAAAAUAGACAAAACCCUGAAGAAAGAGAAGGGGAAAAGUUUAAUUUCCCUCCAAUCCUAUCAGUAUAAACAUGUAAAAUAUAAAUAAGUAUUUUUAUAAAAAUGCAGUCAUAUCAUGAUACUGGGUUUUCACAUUAAAUCUUAAUGUUCUUUUAUGUCAGUAAAUGUAGAUCUGGAUCAUAGCUUUUAUUGCUACAGAGUAUUACAUUGUACAAAUAUACUGUAAUUACAGUUCUAUAGAUUGAAUAUUUAGAUUAUUUCUUAUGUUUCAUAUUUUUAAAUAUGCUGUGAGAAUAAAUCCUCUUAUGGACAUGCUUAUGGACUUAUCCAGAAAUUUCCCUAAAAUAACACCUAACUAGAAAUGGGAUUAUUUGUAAAAUUUAUAUGCUUAAUAAGGCCUUUUCCAGAUAGGAACUUGUACAAUUUAUAUCUCCAUUUUGUUACUUUGGCCACCAUUCAGUAUUAUAGUUUAUAAAAUCUUUAUCAAUAUUAUAUACUGAAAAAUGGAUAACUUGUUUUAAUUAGCAUUUCUUUGAUUACUAGUGAAGUUGAAUAUUUAAUAUAUAUUUACUCAUUUGAUUUUCUUCUUUUGUAAGCUGACUGUUAAUUUUACCAGAAUUUACCAAGAUCUUUUACAAGGUAUUAAAAGAUGUUUCUGAUGAAAAAUAUUCCAUGAUAAAAUAGACUUGGAAAAUGCUGGAUUAAACAAAAUUAACAGCAUUAUUAAAGUUAGGCUGCCAUGAUUUGAAAAAAAUGUCCCCUAAGUAUAUUAACUUCUCCUUGUUCUGUGUUUGCCAAUAAACCCAAUUUGCAUUUUCAUAAUCUGAAUAGACACAUGUGAGUAAGUAGGCUCGACUCUAGGACAAAGUAUUGUGUCUGCUGUGUGAAAUAUGUGUGAAUUUUGCCCACACAUGUGAAUGGACCUUCCAAGGUUUGCCCCCUCAGCUCCUCCUGAGUAAAUUAAGUUGUUGCUAAGUCUGUAUACCCAAGGACUAGAUGCUUAAACAUGGAAUCUACCCCAAAUCUGGCCACUGAGCAAGAAUCAAGCCUACUUACUCUCAUGUGUCUAUUCAGAUUAUUAAACUGCAAAUCGGGUAAUGUUUCUUUGGCCCUCAGUUAUGUCUCUUUGGCUUCAGUAAGAACAGUACUUACAAACUGUGGUCUGGAUUGCUAAAGAAAAAACUCUUAUCACUGGGUUUCUCUGAGAGUGAGAGGAAACAGCACUUGACCUUGGGGAACAGGAAAACAUAUUCUUUCACUCACGGGUCAGAGCUCUCCAAGGCCAAGAUGAUGAUGCUGGCAAGACCUCCUAUCACACCAGGUAAGCCAUGUAGGUUAUGGACCCCGCAUGUGUCAUGGAUCCUCAGUUUAGUAGCAAAAAGUGGCUGAAAUUGUAAAAAGAGGAAGCCUUAUUAUUUUGUCAGCUAUAGAGAGCCCUGUGACUACAGUAAACAAACAUGCAGGAAAAUCUUUAUCUCCAGGCCAGUUUCCCAUCUACAUCUGAAAUCCACU